GCCUUCGUAGUGUAGCGGUUAACAAACUCGGCUCGUAUUCGAGAGGACCAGGUUCGAGUCCCGGCGAGGCA
rnacentral:tRNA from 1 species